GAGUUUGAUCGUGGCUCAGAUUGAACGCUGGCGGCAUGCCUUACACAUGCAAGUCGAGCGGCAGCGCGGGGGCAACCCUGGCGACGAGUGGCGGACGGGUGAGUAAUACGUAGGAAUCUACCCUGUAGUGGGGGACAACCCGGCGAAAGCCGGGCUAAUACCGCAUACGCUCUACGGAGGAAAGUGGGGGAUCGCAAGACCUCACGCUAAAGGAUGAGCCUACGUCGGAUUAGCUAGUUGGUAGGGUAACGGCCUACCAAGGCGACGAUCCGUAGCUGGUCUGAGAGGACGAUCAGCCACACUGGGACUGAGACACGGCCCAGACUCCUACGGGAGGCAGCAGUGGGGAAUAUUGGACAAUGGGGGCAACCCUGAUCCAGCAAUGCCGCGUGUGUGAAGAAGGCCUGCGGGUUGUAAAGCACUUUCAGAGGGGAAGAAAAAUACGGAUCUAACACAUCCGAUCUUGACGUUACCCUUAGAAGAAGCACCGGCUAACUCCGUGCCAGCCGCCGCCGUAAC
rnacentral:rRNA from 1 species